CUAAGAGCGCCCCGGUACACGCCCCUGCUCGCUCUUCCCGCAUCACAACUGCGCGCUUGCACGGCUGGGUACAAUUUUCAAUCAGCGCACCUGGUUCUAAGGAGGGCCGACGCCAUAAAGACCAGCGGACCCAAAGAUCCAGUGUGAGAAGUAUUCCUUCCGUCUCCUGUGAUCGAGCUGUGCGCCUUCCUUCACUGGACUUCCCUCCGGAUUUUGGACUGUUUCCCUCGAUCCUCGACCCCCGCUUGGACACGGACCUCAACGCCUCUCUCCAGCCCCCGACCUUUUGCCUGUUUAUGGACUUCCUUCUUACCUUGCCCCACUGGACUUUUGGACAAUUAAUUCAAAACGCACGAACAACAAACACUGGUAACAUUUACAUUGCUAAUUCCUCACAUCGUCUUACCUCAUACACCAUUAGUAGCAUACACACCCCAACACAUAAUUAAGCUCAAUUAACCUGUUGAGCAUUAUCCUGUCGUUGUGUCGUCUCCUUCCGCCGUAGAACAUAACAGAAACUACAUGAGACUUGUGAGACGAUGUCGGCCAACCCUGGAAGCUAGCUCAACUGUUCUGGCAAUGAAAUGGGGAAAUACUCUCCAUUUCCAUUCGAAUAAGCCGACUACAAGGGGCACCACUGGCUUAUAUGGCGUUGAAUGGAUGCUACAAAUUUGUGAAUUCAAGUAUUUUAUUGUUUCACUUUUAAUAUGUUUUUUGCAAUUUUAAUUUUGACAGUUCCACAUAAGAUAUGUUUUAUUUGCUGAUGCUGUCACGGCGUGGAUUCGAACCCUUGUCUCUCAUGCUUUGAGUGUCACAAUUCCUCCUCUGGCUGCUCACUUGGACACACUCCCGCUCGCGCUGGGCGCAGCACGCCCACGCAGCUACAAGGCUGCACACAAUCACUCAUCAGCGCACCUGGGCCUGACGAGAGGGAGCGGCAUAAAGAGUCAGCGAAGCCAGUAGACCUUCGCCAGAACGUAGCCGAUCUCACCUCACCCCCGACUGCUUGCCUCCCUCCUGACUACCCCUUCGCCUUCCCCUGUGGAUUCGACGAAAGAUACAUCCAACACGCACCGACAACACCCUUUGGUAAAUUCCACAUUGUUAAUUCCACACAUCGUCUGCAUUCACUCACUAGUGGUAGCCUACACAUCCCACACAUUCA